GAGGCUGUGGCACAUGAUGCAUAACCUUUCUGGCGGCGGAUCACCUCUCGGACUACUUGUCCCAGGCACGGAUUCUCUGCAGAGGGCAUAGAAGUCAGGGCAUUGGUGGUCUAGGUGGCCAGCAGGACCAUGAGCAGUUCCCAGUGGGAGAAUGUCUGCAGCAAGGCACUUGAGGAAGGGAGCCAUGACCCUUGACCCUUGACAAGCAAGUCACAGUUUCCGUGUCUGCAAAGUGGUAUAAAAUGUGGAAAAGUCCUCAAGGCACGGGGUGGACUGCCUGGGAUCCUGGUGGCAGGGAGCAAGACUUCUCAGUGUCCAUGCAGGAGAAAGAUCCCCCAAGGGUGCGAAGAGCCUUGAGAUCAUUCUCAUACAGGGCCAGCACAGCACGGGCACUGGGCACGCCCUCGCUGGUCGUAUCUCUGCUUCUUUAGCCUGCCCAGGGAGCCCUCCAAGGUCUUUGGUUGGUGCCAAGUAGUUCCAGAGGUGCAUAUAUGAGAGUGGUGGUGGCCAACACAUGGACCGUGAAGGGCAGGACAAAGAACCUUGAGAAGGUCAAGGCAAGACCUCUCUAGCCCCUGCCUGGGUUAGCCCCUGCUCUGGGGAACUGGAAGCUCUGGGCCCAGGCUCCAUUCGGACCUCCCAUUUUUCUACCCACAAACACCCCUCCCCAUGGAAUAGUCUGUGCCAGGCUAAGCAGGGCACAGUGCUUGGGCCAAAGGCACACAGAGGAAGUCCCCCCUGGAAAACCUUGGAAGAAAGAAAUGGAUGGCCCCAGAGGACACAGCGAUGAUGCUGACAAUGGACAGAAAACUGCUCAGAGAAAGAUCUUUAUGUGUCAAUGGUAAGACAAAAAAAUGGAAAUACUCGAAAGAUUCAAAACCAGAAAUGGAUUAAGUGGCAGUGGAGUAUUAUGGCUUGGUGAUAAAGACUGCGCAUUCUGGAAUCAGAUGGACCUGGAAGCCUGGUAAGCCUCAAUUUUCUCAUUUUUAAAAAUGAGGAUAAUAUUAAAAGUUGAUCACAUAGAGGUAUUAGAGAAUUAAAUAAGUUGUUACAUGAAGAAUGAGAAGAAAAUACAUGAGACAGUGCUUACCAUCAUUCCUGUUGCAUACAAACUCAGUAGUAGUUUGUUGUUAUAAUAUGAUCAAUAAAAAAAUCACAUGUACAAAAGUUUGCUGGAUAAAAUGGGAAAAUGCUUAUGUUUUAAUAAUGUUGGAUUAAAAAAUGCAGGUUGAAGAUUUUUCUCAAGGCCAGGUGCAGUGGCUUAUGCCUGUAAUCCCAGCAUUUUGGGGGGCCAAAACAGGAGGAUCGUUGGAGAUCAGGAGUUUGAGACCAGCCUGUGCAACAUAGUGAGACCUUGUCUCUACAAAAGAUGAAAAAAAAAAAAAGAUAUUCUCCACUAUGGAAAGACAUGUACAGAAAGAAGUCAGUGAGGAGAUGUGUGGCAAUGCCAGCAGGGAACUUGGAGAGAAUGACACUUGGCCCAUUAGAUGAGGGUUCACAUCAGCGUCAGCAUCUGAGCCUCUUUGUGGGACCCAUGGAAGAGACAGGGUGAAGGUUUCUGAAGCCACAUCUGUUGAGAUACCCUGCUCUGACAGGUUGCUGGGAACACAGCAGACCCCAAGAGG
rnacentral:lncRNA from 1 species